AGUCAGGAACCAUGCGAAUAGACCGCGCCCAACCCCGUCAGGUCCGGAAGGAAGCAGCGGUAAGCGAUGAUUUAUGGCGCCGUGGUAUCCCUGGCGGCG
rnacentral:SRP_RNA from 1 species